UUUGAAAAUAAGUAUACCCUAAAAGCACCAAAUCCCUUCUGAUCUUGCAAGCUAAGCAGGAUCACCACUGGUUAGUACUUGGAUGUGAGACCACCAAAGAAUAUCAGGUGCUAUAGAAU
rnacentral:rRNA from 1 species